rnacentral:rRNA from 1 species
UACGUAGGGUGCAAGCGUUGUCCGGAAUUUAUUGGGCGUAAAGAGCUCGUAGGCGGUCUGUCACGUCGGAUGUGAAAAUCCAGGGCUUAACCCUGGACCUGCAUUCGAUACGGGCAGACUAGAGUUCGGUAGGGGAGACGUGGAAUUCCUAAUGUAGCGGUGAAAUGCGUAGAUAUUAGGAGGAACACCAGUGGCGAAGGCGCCUAACUGGACGAGUACUGACGCUCAUGCACGAAAGCGUGGGGAUCAAACAGG